rnacentral:lncRNA from 1 species
UCAUUAUGGUUGCUGCAUUGAUUAAAUUUUGUUUAACUCUGUGGGUCCGUAUGGAUGCGGGUGGCGACUGGCAAUUGAAAUAAAAAUAAAGAAAAAGAAAAACAAUAUAGAUUAGAGACUCCUUUUUCUCUUGUUUUUAUGUGCAUACACCUAACAUCAUAUAGACACACACAAUACAGACACACACACAUUCACGAACCCUCAUACAUAUGUACAUGUAAGGGUAGACACAUUUAUUUACAGAUACAUGGAGCCAAGUGUAAAGUUAAAAAAAAUCUUCUUGUGGUUAUUACCACCAACACUACCAUCAUCAUCAUCAUCAUCAUCAUUGUUAUUAUUAUUAUUAUUAUUAAUAGUAAUAUUACUGUCAUAAUUUUUCUUAUUAUUACCCUGCUGUGUAGCCAUCUAUGUUGAUGGUGAUUUAAUGUUUUUUUGCCACCUUGCCACUAGUGAGAUCAGCAAAUCAAUAUUAAUUGAAAACUGGAUAAAUCUACAAACAUCAAUAAUCUUAAACUCAGUUCUUUUCUUUGUUUCUUUUUUUGUUUUUCUCUUUAGCUUUCCAAACCCUAUCACUACACUGUCUCCUUUAUUUAACAUAGAAAUAUAAAAAAUGAAUUUCACCAGAUGCUUCUAAUAUUUUUUGCAUAUCUACAUAUCUAUAUGUGCAUUUGUGAGCAUCAUACAUAUAUAUACAAUGCAACAUAAUGAUAUAUUAUUUACAUGUAUACAUAUAAUAUUUACAAAAGUAUUAUAUUUAUAAAUUUCAAAAAUAAAUUUCAUUGUAUGUAUUGAAGUAAAAACUAACAAACAUUUGUAUCACAUAAUGAAUAUUCUAUAUACAUUGUCUACCAAUAUUAUAUACAUAACUAUAUAUGUAUAUAUAAUGGAUAUAAAAUGUUAUAUAAUCACAUAAAAAUAUAAAUAUGUGCUUUUUGCAGUAAGUCCAUACUUUUCAAGUCAAAUCGAACCAUUGCUGUUUUAGUCUGGUAUUUUAAGAUUGUAGUGGUCUGGUUCCCAUCACUCAUAUCAGCCCCACCAUCUUCUAUCAAACAUAUUUACAUAUAAAGAUGUAUCUACUCAUAGUUAUGUGGGCAUGUAUGUUUAUGUCAUUUUGUAGUGUGUGCACAUCUUGAGUAAUAUGCAGAAUUUGCAUAGAAUAGAAACAGCCACAUCAUUCAUGACAUUCCGAGAAUCUCUUCAAAUUCUCCCCCUGCCUGAAUGGUGAAGUAGUGGAGGGGAGAAGAGAUAUGGGUGGUGCAGCACAUAUGGGGGUAGCUAGAAUUCUUGGGUGGUGCUGUAGAUAUAAGUGUGUGUGUGUGUGUGCUUGCAUGUAUGUGAAGAUGAUAAGAUGUCAAAGAAUAAUAGGAGGACAGUGAGAUAGAUGCUAGAGAGAGAGUUGCUAGGGAUACUGCUGGCCAGCUAGUGCAUCUCUGUGACAACUAUAAAUAUACAUGCUGCUGCUAUAUUUAGAUGAAAAUAUUGUUGUUACUGUUGUUAUUCUAUAUUUUCUACUUCUGGAUCCUCUUGUCCUUCUUACAGCUGGUGUAUUUAUUCUUAGAACAAUUAUCGUUGAACUUAUUCUGUUUAUUGUUGUCAUUCAUAAGGGUUAUUUAGCCCCCCUCCCCAAGUCAGUUCUAACGCAGUAGACCUAUGGCCAGAGAUGUCCAACCAUGGCCAUCCUUCCUAUAUUUUUCUCCUUCAUACAUGAUAUACUGACCACUUCUUUUUAUAGAACAGCAGAAUGUAGUUUGAAUGGAAUUUAGGGGUUACUUCUAGAAAAUGGAGUGACUACAUAAAGCUACCAUGUGUUGGCUCCUUGCUGUUGUACAUAUUCUGGGUUCUUUGUUGUUCAUGUUGUUCAUAUGGUUACUGUCUGUCAUUAUUUAUCAUUCUUUCUUAAUGUUGCUGCCCUUCUUACAUCUUCCUCUCUAAAGAUUUUAAAAACUUUUUUGCAGCUGUUGUUGUUGUUGUUGUUGUUGUGGUUAUUAAGUCUAAGCAUUUCACACUGAUUAUAUAAUAUAAUUAUAUAUAGAGAUUACAACUGUAUGCACAUUUCAUUAGAGAUACAAUACAUAGAUAUUUGUGUGUGUGUAUGUAUAUAUAUCCCUACACACAUAUAAAAAUAUAUUCAUAUAUAUGUGCGUGCAUGUUUGUGUAUACAUAAGAACAUAUAUAUAAGCAUACAUACUUCAAAUCUUACUGAAAAAUCUAUAUUUUUUUAAUGAAAUUUUUACAGUGAUAUAUUUACAAGGGAACAGAUUAUAAUGAUGUUAGUAUGUUUUAAUUAGAAUUCUUCCUUUCUGAAGUUUCAACUGCUCAAUAACUUUCUUAUUUUUAAAUUAAAUUUUACAGGACUUAUGUUUCCAAAAAUAGUGAUUACAUAAUAUUGAUAUUUCAAACAUGCAAUUCUGAAAAAAGUGACUGAAGACUGCUGAGAUUACAGAAAUUGAUGAUAACAAAGGACAGAGAGAAAGGCAGAGGGAGAGAGAGAAAGAGAGAGAGAGAGAGAGAAAGAGAGAGAGAGAAAGAGAAAGAGAGAGAAGUCAUUUAAAAAUCCUCUCAGAAAAUAACUUUUUUUUUGCAAGAUAUCUACAUCAUUGAAAUCUGGAAAAUACAUUUAUAUUUAUUCUUAUUAAAGGUAUGCAUUUUCCAAAAACAUGAGGAAAAAAAAAUCAGUGAGAGGGUACCUGACUGUGGAUAUAUACCUAUGUAUGUAUAGUAUAACUACAGUUAUAUAAUACAUGUAUACACACACACACACACACACACAUACAUACAUAAACAGACAGACAAACAGACAGAUACAUAUGCAUAUCUAUACUUGCAUAUUUUCAUAUAUGUAUAAAUAUGUAUACAUAUACAUAUACAAAUACACACACACACACACACACACAUAUAUAUAUAUAUAUAUAUAUUAUUGUAUUUCGGAAUGGUCAUUUUGCCAGUUUAGCCAAUAAAAGCACACGCACUAUAUAUUUGGUGUUACUUUGCUUCAGUGUUAUUUAUUUUUUACAUUAAUCUUAAUCUUAUUUCGGCCAGAGUUUUUUUGUCACACUCCUGUGACCGCAUCAGAGGUCCUUUGCUUUCUUCUUUCUUAUUUGAUGCGGUCACAGGAGUGUGACGAAAGAACUCUGGCCGAAAUAAGAUUAAGAUUAAUGUAAAAAAUAAAUAGCACUGAAGCAGAGUAACACCAAAUAUAUUAGUGCCUGUGCUUUUAUUGGCUAAACUGGCAAAAUGACCAUUCCGAAAUACAACAAUAUCUGUUUCAGCACUCGACUUCACAUCAAAAAUCUUGCACAACAAAUAUAUAAACGUAUAUAUAUAUAUAUAUAUAUGUAUGUAUAUAUAUGAAUAUAUAUGUAUAUGUAUAUUGCAUAUACACAUACACAUACAGACACCACCACAUAUAUUUGUAUAUUUCAUAUAUAUAUAUUUAUAUAUGCAUACAUAUAUAUUUGUAUAUACGUCAUCAUUAUCAUCAUCAUCAUUAAACAGAUGUCUUCCAUGCUGGCAUGGGUCUUAUAUAUAUAUAUAUAUAUAUAUAUAUAUAUACCGGAGUAAACACAUAAAUGUGAAACAAGGUGGAAAAAAGAGUACUCAAAUACCAGUGGUAGAGUAAUAUGCUUUAUUUUAAGCAGCAGAAAAUUCAACAAAAUCUGUUACUCUGAGUUUCUCGUUGCCGUUCAUCAGACAGUUUUUGCUAGCUGAUGAUGAACGGCAACGAGAAACUGUCUGAUGAACUGCAACGAGAAACUCAGAACGGCAAAGAAACUCAGAGUAACAGAUUUUGUUGAAUUUUCUGCUGCUUAAAAUAAAGUAUAUAUAUAUAUAUAUAUAAAUAUAUAUAUGUAUGUAUGUAUAUAAUGUGUGUGUGUGUGUGUGUGUGAUUUAAUAAUAGUUUGACUUAGCUCCAUGCAACUUAAAGUUUCCUAGGCUCAUAGAAUGAACUCAGCUUCUCAGGCAUUUGAACUUCAUCUUCAGAUGCCUGACACCAGGUUUCUUUCUAUGAGCUUACGAAGCUUUAAGUUGCAUGGAGCCAAGUAAAAUUGUUAUUAAAUAAUACUCCUACCAAAUGUGUUGAGUGCUACUUUCUUUCACUUGUUCACUCCCUUGCAUGUGUAUAUGUACACACGCAUGCUAAAGUGUUGCCCAUCAUAUGACAGAUAUCUCUGGAAGUAUACUAUUGCCACCAGAUGUAAUUUGAUAAAAGUUGAAUUUUAAUUUUUAACAUUUAUGCCAUAUUUCCUGAGAUAAACCAUGGAAGCAAAUGUGUUUUGAAUUCAUUGUAGAAGUUGUAGUGAUAUAUUCCUUCCUUCGGAAGAGCUUGCUUUAAAUUCUUAAGUUACCUAACAUUCUAAUGAUUUAAUCAAAAAAUUUCCUCUGAUAAUGAACAGCUUACUUGAAAAGCAUAAUGUAUAAAUUAUUGCUGAGUCUUUUUCUGCUACAGCCAGCAUCUCUGUCAUUUUAAUUCCUCAUUGUCAUUGUCCACCUCCUCCCCUGUCUCAUUAAUUCUUUCUCUUUCACUGUGCAUGUGUGUGUGUAUGUGUGUGUAUAGUGUUACUUCACUUAUUGCCUGCCACAAAGCCAAGUACAUUCACUCAUCCUACAUCUCCCUGUCUAUCUCUCUCACUAUCUUUUUUACUCGUUUUCCCUCCCUCUGUAUAUCAUAAAGUGUGACAGAAGAAAUCAGUCAACCAGCCAACAUUUACAUCAGUUUAUGUUCUGAGAUCAAAUUCUGCCAAGGCUGACAUCGAUAAAGUAAGGACCAGUUGAACACCAAGGUUGAUGUGAUCAACUUGCCCUUUCCUCUGAACAUGGUGACCUUGUGCCAAAAUCUGAACCCAUUAUUAAAUGGAAAGGCAGAAAUACAUGCACACACAUUCAUAGACUCUUAUCGACUUCAGUAUGAACUUCAGUAGCUGUUUCCACUAUAAGAUCCAGUGGACGCAUAGUUGAGUGUUUGGGUAACACCUUACAGCUUCAUCAGAGUCUCAAACAUGAAGUUCUAUACCAGGUUUUAUAUAUAUACUCUUUUAUUUGUUUCAGUCAUUUGGCUGCGGCCAUGCUGGAGCACUGCCUUUAGUCGAGCAAAUCGACCCCGGGACUUAUUCUUUGUAAGCCCAGUACUUAUUCUAUCGGUCUCUAUUGCCAAACCGCUAAGUGACGGGGACGUAAACACACCAGCAUCGUUUGUCAAGCAAUGCUAGGGGGACAAACAAUACAUACAUACAUACACAUAUAUAUACACAUAUAUAUACAUAUAUACGACUGGCUUCUUUCAGUUUCCGUCUACCAAAUCCACUCACAAGGCAUUGGUCGGCCCGGGGCUAUAUCAGAAGACACUUGCCCAAGGUGCCACGCAGUGGGACUGAACCCAGAACCAUGUGGUUGGUUAGCAAGCUACUUACCACACAGCCACUCCUGCGCCUAUAUAUAUAUAUAUAUAUAUAUAUAUAUAUAUAUAUAGAUAGAUAGAUAGAUAGAUAGAUAGAUAGAUAGAUAGAUAGAUAGAUAUACACAUAAGUGGUAAGUAGCUUGUUUACCAACCACAUGGUUCUGGGUUCAAUCCCACUGCGUGGCACCUUGGGUAAGUGUCUUCUACUAUAGCCUCGGGCCGACCAAAGCCUUGUGAGUGGAUUUGGUAGACGAAAACUGAAAGCAGCCUUUCGUAUAUAUGUAUAUAUAUAUGUGUGUGUGCAUGUGUUUGUGUGUCUGUGUUUGUCCCCCUAGCAUCGCUUGACAACCGAUGCUGGUGUGUUUAUGUCCCCGUUACUUAGCGGUUCGGCAAAAAGAGACCGAUAGAAUAAGUACUGGGCUUACAAAAGAAUAAGUCCCGGGGUCGAGUUGCUCGAUUAAAGGCGGUGCUCCAGCAUGGCCGCGGUCAAAAGACUGAAACAAGUAAAACAGUAAAGAGUAGAUAUAUAUUGACACAUGUGUGUCAUGUCUUUGGCAUCCAUCGACCAUGUACUUUUUAACCCCUCUACCCUCCCCUACCACUGAUUGCCAAUUUCAAUGUUCUCCCAUGGACUUCCACUUUUUUUCUUCAUUCUUCCUGUAUCUUUCUUUUAUUCUCUCUCAACUUGUCUCUCUCUAUAAAACAAUGCUUUUGUUUUGCAAGUUACUUGGUGACCCUGUCAGUGCUGGUGCCAUGUAAAAAGCACUAGUGCUGGUGCCACAUUAUAAGCACCCUGUACACUCUCUAAAGUGGCUGGCAUUAGGAAAGGCAGCAUCCAUUUGUAGAAACCAUGCCAAAACAGACAAUAGAGCCUGGUGCAUCUACCGACUCUUUACCAGCUCCUAUCAAACAAUCCAACCCAUGCCAGCAUGUAAAAGCGACAUUGAAUAAUGAUAUAUAUGCAUGUAUGUAUAUAUAUAUAUAUAUAUAUAUAUAUAUAUAUGUGUGUGUGUUCAUCAUCAUCAGCAGCAGCAGCAUGGUGGCUUAUAUCUAUCUAUCUACAUAUAUAUAUAUAUAUAUAUAUAUAUAUAUAUAUAUAAGUAAAUAUGAGAGUGAUUGUAUUAUCAAAAUACUAUCACUAGUGGCAAAUGAAUACCAGCGGUACAGGCAAAUUAAUAAACUAUACCUAUAUAUAAGACAUGUGCUUAUAUAUAUAUAUAUAUAUAUAUAUAUAUAUACAAGGGUACUACAUGAGUACCUGCAUCGCUAAAAAUAUAAGUAAAAAAUACUUAUAUAUAUAUAUAUAUAUAUAUAUAUAUAUAUAUAUUAUAUAUAUACAUAUAUGUGUAUGUGUUAUGGCAGUAGCAUAUUUACCAUAUAAUUUCUAUAUAAUGAAUCUACGUUCAUAAACACGCAAAUACACAUGUGCGCGUGCACACACACACACACACACACACACACACUCACACACAUGCUAUCAUAUAACAGAAACAAUUAAAAGUAAGUCUUCAUAAACAAAACCAUGCAAAAAUUGGCAUAUAGAAUAUAUAUAUAUAGAAUAUAUAUAUAUAGAAUAUAUAUAUAUAGAAUAUAUAUAUAUAGAAUAUAUAUAUAUAGAAUAUAUAUAUAUAGAAUAUAUAUAUAUAGAAUAUAUAUAUAUAGAAUAUAUAUAUACAUAUCAACUUUUUCAAUGGUGAUUGAAAGGAAAUAACUUUGGAUGAUAAUUUAAAAGAAUUUACAUUUUGAGGACAAUGGAAGAAAAUUACAGCAUAUCUUUUAGGAAAAUUCAGAAGAAUAUGAAAAUUCUUUCUGGAGAUUGCAUACACCUAGUUAUGUGCCCAACCCAUACACACACACACACACACACACACACACACAUACACAUAUGUACAAUAUCCACACCCACACACACUUUACAUAUAUACACAUAUUUACACAAAGGAAAAGAUAUAGUUAAAUGUGUUCUAAUUCUUGCCUUUAGAGAUAAUAAAUUAUGAAUGUUUCUGUAUAUAAAUAGAUAUACUAGCAUAGUAUCUAUCAAAAGUGACAGAUUUUAUUUGAGUACAAUAUAAAAAGUUUUAUCUGAAUACAAUAUAAACUGUUUUACUUAAAUAUUAUAUUUAAAUUAUUCAAAUGUGUGUCAGAAAGACAGUAACAUAGGCUUUAUUGCCAUGAUGAUGAUAACGAUGAUAAUGAUGAUAAAAAUAAUAAUAAUAAUAAUAAUAAUAAUAAUAAUAAUAAUAAUAAUAAUAAUAAUAAUAACAGCAACAACAAUAACAAUAAUAAUAACAACAACAAUAACAACAACAAUUCCUUCUACUAUAGGCACAAGACCGAAAUUUCGGAGGGAGGGUUAAGUGCUACCACUGGCUGGAUAGGUUGGUAUAAUCCUAGUCAGAUCUUAUUCAUCAUUACUAACUUCCAAGAUGUAGUAAAGUGUAAGUAUAUCUUGCCUGUAUGUAUAUUGUAUAUAGCUAGAUGCCCUUCCUAACACCAACCUCCUUACGAAAAGUUUUGGGUGCAUUUCAUCAUGCCAUAUCCUCAACAAAGCAAGAGUAAAGGGCUCUAUUCAUAUAUAGUGUCUCCACUCACACACACACACACACACAUAUAUUGUCGUAUCAAAUAAAUGAAUUAUAAAAUUAGCAAUAACAGACACGAAGAGGACAUGCACAAGGAACGUAUUAUUCUGAUGCUCAGUAAAAGGAGAGACUUUUUGAGGUUUUGAGCAUAGCUCUUCAUCCGAAAGGAGAAAGGGAAAAGUUCAAAGGACAAAAGAAAUCAUCAACAGCUUUAUACAGAGAGAGAUCUGGCUUGAUGAUAAAUGUAAGAGUAAUUAUAUAAUGUAAAGAGAGAAAAUAAGUGAAAGGUGAAUUAGUAAGGUUGAAUCUCUCUUUCUCACAUUAUGUCUUACAUCGUUAUUAUGCCAUUUGUACUCUGUUGAAGUUUCUCUCUUUAAAGAUAUAUCUUUCUCAUUCAUCGAGCUUGUCUGUGUGUCCCUCCUCAGUUAUAUAUAUAUAACAGGCAUGGCCAUGUGGCAAGAAGCUUGCUUCCUAACCACAUGGUUCUGGCUUCCCAACCACAUUGUUCCAGGUUCAAUCCCACUGACCAAAGCCCUGUGAGUGCAUUUGGUAGACUGAAACUGAAAGAAGCCUGUCAGAUAUAUAUAUAUAUAUAUAUAUAUAUAUAUAUAUGUACAUAUAUAUAUGUAUAUGUAUGUAUUGUUAUGUGUGUGUGUCUGUGUUUGUAUUGCCACCAUUACUUGACAACUGAUGUUGAUGAAUUUAUGCCCCCAUAACUUAGCAGUUCUGCAAAAGACAUCAAUAGAAUAAGUACUAGGCUUGCAAAGAAUAAGUCCUUUAAGGUAGUGCUCCAGCAUGACCACAGUCAUAGGACCAAAUCAAGUAAGUGAAUAGAAGAAGGUAUCUAUAUAUACUAAUGGGCUAGCUGGUACACUGGUCAGCACACUGGACAAAAAGCUUUUUCACAGUGGUGCUCCAAUAUGAUUGCAGCCAUAUAGCUGAAACAGGUAGAAUAAAAUAAGGUGUAUAUAUAUAUAUAUAUAUAUAUAUAUAUAUAUAUUGAUGGUGCUUUUUAUGCGCCACCGGCACAGGUAUCACAACUACUAUUAUCAAUGGAAAUAGUAGUUGUGAUACCUGUGCCAGUGGUACAUAAAAAGCACUGUCCGAACGUGGCUGAUGCCAGCACCGCCUCGACUGGCUUCUGUGUCAGUGGCACAUAAAAAGCACCAUCCGAAAGUGGCCGAUGCCAGCGCCGCCUUGACUGGCUUCCGUGCCGGUGGCACGUUAAAAGCAUAAACUGAUCGUGGCCGCUGCUAAACCCCUCUGGCACCUGUGCCGGUGGCAUGUAAAAAGCACCCACUACACUUGCAGAGUGGUUGGUGUUAGGAAGGGCAUCCAGCUGUAGAAACACUGCCAGAUCAGACUGGAGCCUGGUGCAGUCUCCUGGCUUCCCAGACCCCGGUUGAACCGUCCAACCCAUGCUAGCGCGGGAAACAGACGUUAAACGAUGAUGAUAUACAUGCAUGCACACACACACACACACACACAUAAAUAUAAAUCUUAUUUAUAUAUGCACAAACAUGUCUGUUUAGUGAGAAGUUUGCUUCCCAACCCCAUGGUGCUGUGUCGAGUCCCACUGCAUGGCACCUUGGGCAAGUGAGUGGAUCUGGUAUACAGAAACGGAAAAGAGCCAGAUGUAUAUAUAUAUAUAUAAAUGUGUGUGUGUCUUUGUUUUUGUAUUUCUCUCUGCUCCCCCAACCCCCAUAGUAUUGGUUUGUUUAUGUCCCUGUAACCCAGAGGUGCAGUAAAAAGUGACUGACAGAAUAAGUUUCACACUUCAACAAAUAAGUACUAGGGUUGAUUUGUUUGACAAGACCUUUCAGGAUCUAACCCAAACAGUUCUAAGAACUGAAACAGGUAAAAGAAAAAAAAUUAAAGGUGAAAGAUAUAUAUAUAUAAUAUGUGUGCGUGUUUUUCUAUACCUGUCUUGAUAUUGCAUGCUAAUCAUAAAGCUAAUUUUACCACCAUAAGAGAAGUGAUCAUAAAAGGAAUGAUGUUUAUUUGCAGUCUUGAGCAGGAACCU